CAGAGAAUAGUUUAUAAAAACAUUAAUUUUGGAGAUUAAAAAUAGAAUUUUUUUUCUUUCUCUGA
rnacentral:tRNA from 1 species